rnacentral:rRNA from 1 species
GAUGAACGCUGGCGGCAUGCCUAACACAUGCAAGUCGAACGGAAUCUUAUAUGUUCCUCGUUUCGGAUUUAGUUCCGAGUUGAGGAACAAUAAGAUUUAGUGGCGGACGGGUGAGUAACACGUUGGUACCUACCCCUUAGUGGGGAAUAACUUCGAGAAAUCGAGGCUAAUACCGCAUAAUAUCUACGGAUUAAAGCAUUUAUGCGCUAAGGGAGGGGCCUGCGUCUGAUUAGCUAGUUGGUGAGGUAAAAGCUCACCAAGGCGACGAUCAGUAGCUGGAUCGAGAGGUUGACCAGCCACACUGGGACUGAGAUACGGCCCAGACUCCUACGGGAGGCAGCAGUGAGGAAUCUUCCACAAUGGGCGAAAGCCUGAUGGAGCAAUGCCGCGUGCAGGAUGACGGCCUUCGGGUUGUAAACUGCUUUUAUAUGGGAAGAUUAUGACGGUACCAUAUGAAUAAGGACCGGCUAACUACGUGCCAGCAGCCGCCGUAACAC